CUAGCCCUGCUGCCUAAAGAGUGGGAGCUGCUGCUCUCUUCUUUCCUCAAGCCUGGCUCACUGUUCCAUACAAGAGAACCUUUCCCCGAGAGAAACUAGGGCUUCUAUCCUGCCCUAAGUGCCAGCCCCUGGCACUUAGCCCUCACCACCAGGUACCGUCACUGGCCAUCUGGUUGGAAUCUUCUUGGUGGAGAUGCAUCGAUUCACAUCUAGCACAGAACCUGCACUGGCUGGCUGAGUGGUGAAUGGACAGUAAGGAGGAAGGAAACAAAAUCAACACUUAAUAAGGCAUAAUGGAUGUAUACCUACCUAUUUUAUAAACUUCAAUGAAUUGUGCCAAAUUGAAAGAGUCGGGAUUUUACAGGAAAAAGGAACAGUCAUGGAAGUCACUGUUGGGUAUCUUUGCCCUGACUCUCAUGUGCUACAUAACACCAGGUUGGCUUCCGACAUCCUGCAGACCUGCAGACUCUGAAAUGGGAUUCAAAGGAUUAAGUGGGAGAGUGCUAUUAACAGCUCUUCAACAGCAGGCAUCAAUCUGAGGCAGGAGCCCAUGGCCCACCAGGGAGAAGGAAGGGCUGAGCGGGAGCUGAGUCCAGGCCACACCUGCUCACUGGGAAAGGAUGCUGGGCUUUCUCCAACCUCAGUCCUGCAUCUGUCUAAGGCCUGCACCACUCACCAGAGACAGCCAGGGCCACCAGUGGCUUCCCGUGUCCACUUCAGAAUGGCAAAAUCCUCUUGAGAAAAUGCAUACUAAAACCCAAAGGAGAUUAGAGGAACGGGGUAACAAAAUUAGUAAAUCUUAAUUUGAGAACUCCUUGUUUAUUUUGUAACAGGUGGUAUUCCUAGGGCAACAUCCACCUUGGAAUUGUUUGUUUUUCUCUUGGUUUUGUUUUGAGACAGCAUCUCACUGUGUAGUCCUGGUUGGUCUGGAAAUUGCUACAGUGAUCAGGCUGGCCUCAAACCCACAGAGCUCCAUCUGCUUCUGCCUCCCAAGAGCUGUCUCCCACACUCAGCACAUCUUGUUUUCUAAAACUGGGUCUCUCUCCAGGUAGGCUAAACUAACUACAGAUGGAACCCCAGGCUCUGCCUCCCCAGUGAUGGGAUGCCACCAUACCUGGAUUUUUAACUGGGUGUCAAAGACUUAGCAAACACUUUUCCAACAGAACAACCAACCUAGCCCCUAAAAUUACAAAUCUGUGGUAUUCUGUUUCAGAGCAUCCUCAGCAGAAAACACUGAAUAUGAAACAACAAUACAUUCCACCUGUUUCUGUAUCUCAUUUGGUUCUCCUUCACAUAAACGUGCAACUGUAAACAAUGAAAACUUAACAAUACAGCUCUAUUGGCCAGUAGAGGUUCUACUCCUGAAGAGGGCAGAAUGAGAAGUGAAGGUGGCUGGGAAA